AUGAUUCAGGAGACAGAAGAUGAAUUCAUGCUCUUCAUUCACAUACUCAACAAACAAAUAUCAUUGAACACAUCCUGUGUGCAAAGCACUAUUUGGGACAGGGUGCCACAGCAGCAAACAACAUCCCACCAUCAGUCCCAAGAUAUAUCUCUGACUCCAGGCUCAUCAAGUUUCUUAAAGCAUCCAUUUUAAAGUCGAGCUAUCUACAAAGUACACUGGAUUUCCUGCUUUUCCUAUAGCAUACUAGAUUUAUUUCCCACUCAACAUUUCUGGAUCUAAAGGAAUAACUAAAGUGUUUUCUUCUCAUCAGGCUCAACAGGAGUGUCACUACAGUCACCUGCGUCUUACAUUUGUUCCAAUUUGUAUUGAGUUCCUACUUUGCUAACUACUCUGUUAAGCUUAUGAAAUAUAAACAUGCAAAAAAAUAAAAAAUAAAGACACCCACUUUCCC
rnacentral:lncRNA from 1 species